GACGAACGCUGGCGGCGUGCCUAAUACAUGCAAGUAGAACGCUGAAGGAGGAGCUUGCUUCUCCGGAUGAGUUGCGAACGGGUGAGUAACGCGUAGGUAACCUGCCUGGUAGCGGGGGAUAACUAUUGGAAACGAUAGCUAAUACCGCAUAACAGUAGAUAUUGCAUGAUAUCUGCUUGAAAGGUGCAAUUGCAUCACUACCAGAUGGACCUGCGUUGUAUUAGCUAGUUGGUGAGGUACGCUCACCAAGGCGACGAUACAUAGCCGACCUGAGAGGGUGAUCGGCCACACUGGGACUGAGACACGGCCCAGACUCCGUACGGGAGCAGCA
rnacentral:rRNA from 1 species